CAGACCUGUCCGUCUUGGUCUUCCGGUAAAGUACAACUGGUCUCACCUUCUCUUCAGAAGUUUGAAUUAUACUUCUGAGCUGUGACUCAAAAGACUCCAGGGAGGCGGUUGGAACGCUUAAGGUAAAAGAAAGAUGCAACCGAGAGGAUGAGGCCCAGGCUGAUCAGUAGAGUUCCUAGAAGGACAGAAGCCGCUACAGCCGGGCCACCUGCCAUUAUAAAGCAAAGGAUGAAAUUAAAGUUCCGUACUACGGAGCCCCGCAUAUGACAUGCGGGAAAACAUUUACAAAUCAAAUAUGUCAGCAUGUUUUACUAAUUCGUUCACUCCUUUUGAGUAAACAGUGUGCACAAUAUAAUAAUUUGUUCCCUUGAUUUAGUAAAUCAUGGCCACGUUGUACUAAUUUGAUUUGAUUGAACUAAAUCAAGGGAACAAAUUAUUAUACCGUGCACACUAUUUAAUCAAAAGGAGUGAACAAAUUGUUAUAGCUUUUUAAUUCUUAAUUCAGGUCCACGAUAUUCAUAUUUUUGUCUGCAUCAUGUCCUAUGCAGGACUCCUUUCAAAUCAAUAUCAAUAUACAAAAAUAAAUUAGGUUUUGAAGCAGUUUUUUUGAAGCAGUACUAUUAUUAAAUAAUGAUAAUAACUUACCAAUCAUUUUGAUUAAUGCUCCUGGAAAGUGACUAAUCCUUGCUAGAGGGAGAGUAGAAAACACAAUGAAGUAAAUAAAAAGAUAAACAAUAAUAUAAUAAAUAAAGAGCACAUCUAAGAGUU